rnacentral:rRNA from 1 species
AUUGAACGCUGGCGGCAGGCCUAACACAUGCAAGUCGAACGAGAGGCGGACGUAUGAGCAAGGUCUGGGAAACUGCCUGAUGGAGGGCGAUAACUAAUGGAAACUGUAGCCAAAACCGCAUACCAUCAGCUUUGCCGAGUUUGGAUUAUAUUGGUGGUGGGGUAACGGCUCACCAAGGCGACGAUCCAUAGCUGGUCUGAGAGGAUGACCAGCCACACUGGAACUGAGACACGGUCCAGACUCCUACGGGAGGCAGCAGUGGGGAAUAUUGCACAAUGGGCGCAAGCCUGAUGCAGCCAUGCCGCGGGUAUGAAGAAGGCCUUCGGGUUGUAAAGUACUUUCAGGUGGGAGGCGUUACCCGCAGAAGAAGCACCGGCUAACUCCGUGCCAGCAGCCGCGGUAAUAC